GACGUAGGGCGCGAGCGUUGUCCGGAUUUAUUGGGCGUAAAGAGCUCGUAGGCGGUUUGUCGCGUCUGCUGUGAAAACUGGAGGCUCAACCUCCAGCCUGCAGUGGGUACGGGCAAGCUAGAGUGCGGUAGGGGAGAUUGGAAUUCCUGGUGUAGCGGUGGAAUGCGCAGAUAUCAGGAGGAACACCGAUGGCGAAGGCAGGUCUCUGGGCCACUACUGACGCUGAGAAGCGAAAGCAUGGGGAGCGAACAGG
rnacentral:rRNA from 1 species